ACUACUGUCCCUCAUUGUAUAAGUAGACUUGUUUAGGCAAGCAUUUUUAGGUUAAUUAGGCUACAGUAAUGCUAGUUUUGUGGAAAUAAAUGCCAGAUGCACCAAAUCUUUCUUUUUCCGUGUAUCCUAUUUUCCUAUCAUCUCAUUUUGAAUGCUAUAAGUAUCUAAGUCGCACAUGUAUGUUUGUAAUUCUCCCGUUCUGUCUAUAUUUCCUUCACUGAUGCCUGCAGUAUCCGUUAUGACUCUUGUAGCAGGAGAGAAACGCCCUGGACCAGGUAUAGAAAUAUAUGAAUGGACGUCAGAUCACCCGGGUUAUGCAGAACAUCUGGUGGCGACGAUAUCAGAAUGGUUGGUCGCAUUUAUCACCGUGAUAUAUUUUGCCACGUUUUACAAAGAGUUCAAACAUUUCCGAAUGAAGGCACCGGAAGUCGUUUACUAUGAACCACAACAACAAGAGCAAUGAGCAAAUAUAUCUGUAAUAAGUUGACAAAAACAGACAAACUUUUAAGCAGCAAAAAAAGGAUCUUACAAUACGUAUUUCAAGCUGAAUGUUCUGUGAGCAGCAUAAUGUUUAAGUUCGUCCUUCAAUACAUAUUAUCAUUACAUGAUAAAAAGAUGUGUUUGACUUGUGUACACGAGCAUUGUAAAUGACUAUAAAUAUAACAGUUUCUAUCUUUUUUUCAUUUCUUUUCUGGUGACAUUUAAGUGUCACUUACUGGUAACACACAUGCAAAAACAGUAAUGAAUGCACUAACAAAUUGGUAUUCUGGUUAGAUUGAAAUUGUUUUGAUUACUUGUAACAAAAAUACUUUAUUAAUGCUCUACAUAUACAAGUAGUGCAGAUAAAAUCAAAUUUAACACAAUAUAUGUUAUACUUGCUUAUAUCAAUACUCAAACAUUGUUUUGAAAUGUCGCGAAUUAAAGUACAUUUUUGGUAAGAUAUGUGGGAUCGAUACUGUAUCAAGUUAUAUUAUAAACUUAACCAAAACAUGACCUACUAAACGGGACAAAGGAAAGAACUUUUUACACAUAUUAUACAAAAAAAAUGUACAUAUAUUAUGAAAUAUUAAAUCAGUAUUAUUUGAUGUAUAAAUCUUGCUAGAUGUC